GAAUCAAAACUUUCAACAACGGAUCUCUUGGCUCUGGCAUCGAUGAAGAACGCAGCGAAAUGCGAUAAGUAAUGUGAAUUGCAGAAUCCAGUGAAUCAUCGAAUCUUUGAACGCACAUUGCGCCCGCCAGCAUUCUGGCGGGCAUGCCUGUUCGAGC
rnacentral:rRNA from 1 species